rnacentral:rRNA from 1 species
GUCGACGCUUCUUUUUCCACCGGAGCUUGCUCCACCGGAAAAAGAGGAUUGGCGAACGGGUGAGUAACACGUGGGUAACCUGCCCAUCAGAAGGGGAUAACACUUGGAAACAGGUGCUAAUACCGUAUAACAAUCGAAACCGCAUGGUUUUGAUUUGAAAGGCGCUUUCGGGUGUCGCUGAUGGAUGGACCCGCGGUGCAUUAGCUAGUUGGUGAGGUAACGGCUCACCAAGGCGACGAUGCAUAGCCGACCUGAGAGGGUGAUCGGCCACAUUGGGACUGAGACACGGCCCAAACUCCUACGGGAGGCAGCAGUAGGGAAUCUUCGGCAAUGGACGAAAGUCUGACCGAGCAACGCCGCGUGAGUGAAGAAGGUUUUCGGAUCGUAAAACUCUGUUGUUAGAGAAGAACAAGGAUGAGAGUAACUGUUCAUCCCUUGACGGUAUCUAACCAGAAAGCCACGGCUAACUACGUGCCAGCAGCCGCGGUAAUACGUAGGUGGCAAGCGUUGUCCGGAUUUAUUGGGCGUAAAGCGAGCGCAGGCGGUUUCUUAAGUCUGAUGUGAAAGCCCCCGGCUCAACCGGGGAGGGUCAUUGGAAACUGGGAGACUUGAGUGCAGAAGAGGAGAGUGGAAUUCCAUGUGUAGCGGUGAAAUGCGUAGAUAUAUGGAGGAACACCAGUGGCGAAGGCGGCUCUCUGGUCUGUAACUGACGCUGAGGCUCGAAAGCGUGGGGAGCAAACAGGAUUAGAUACCCUGGUAGUCCACGCCGUAAACGAUGAGUGCUAAGUGUUGGAGGGUUUCCGCCCUUCAGUGCUGCAGCUAACGCAUUAAGCACUCCGCCUGGGGAGUACGACCGCAAGGUUGAAACUCAAAGGAAUUGACGGGGGCCCGCACAAGCGGUGGAGCAUGUGGUUUAAUUCGAAGCAACGCGAAGAACCUUACCAGGUCUUGACAUCCUUUGACCACUCUAGAGAUAGAGCUUCCCCCUUCGGGGGCAAAGUGACAGGUGGUGCAUGGUUGUCGUCAGCUCGUGUCGUGAGAUGUUGGGUUAAGUCCCGCAACGAGCGCAACCCUUAUUGUUAGUUGCCAUCAUUUUAGUUGGGCACUCUAGCAAGACUGCCGGUGACAAACCGGAGGAAGGUGGGGAUGACGUCAAAUCAUCAUGCCCCUUAUGACCUGGGCUACACACGUGCUACAAUGGGAAGUACAACGAGUCGCAAAGUCGCGAGGCUAAGCUAAUCUCUUAAAGCUUCUCUCAGUUCGGAUUGUAGGCUGCAACUCGCCUACAUGAAGCCGGAAUCGCUAGUAAUCGCGGAUCAGCACGCCGCGGUGAAUACGUUCCCGGGCCUUGUACACACCGCCCGUCACACCACGAGAGUUUGUAACACCCGAAGUCGGUGAGGUAACCUUUUGGAGC